UGUUAAAAUAUUAAUCUAUUUGUAUUGUUUAAAACAUGUGCGAUUGAUAGAAUAACCAAAUAGUAACACGUGGCAUGCUACGUGUACCUCAUGCAGAGAUACAAUGACCAAUUUAUAAUAGUAGAAAUUGAUGAGAUUUUUAACA
rfam:Gossypium hirsutum cultivar TM-1 chromosome 10, whole genome shotgun sequence